ACGGAGGGUGCAAGCGUUAUCCGGAAUUACUGGGCGUAAAGGGCGCGCAGGCGGCCGGGCAAGUCUGAAGUGAAAGCCCGGGGUUUAAGCUCGGAAGGGCAUUGGAUACUGCUUUGCUUGAGUUCAGGAGAGGUAAGUGGAAUUCCCGGUGUAGAGGUGAAAUGCGUAGAGAUCGGGAGGAACACCAGUGGCGAAGGCGCCCUACUGGACAGCAACUGACGCUGAGGCGCGAAAGUGUGGGGAGCAAACAG
rnacentral:rRNA from 1 species